GAAUAGCAGCCUUGGGGAAAGUGAGCAGAUGCUUCAUCUCUGCAUGUAGAUACAGCUACAACCAGAAUCCAGUAGUGUAGCCAGCUUACGCUGCAUACAACAGCUUCUGUGUGCUAACAACAAGUGCUUUCUAAACCUAGAAGUGUCAUCUCCCUGUAAGAACUGGGAAAAUGGAGGCAUGGAGAACACUGGAAGCUGCCCAUGGUCACACAACUGCUACUAAAACACUGAGCCUUUGCAUCAUGGUCCCUGAAAGCAGUGGAUCAUGGCACACGAUUUCCAGAAUGAAGCCCCACAACCACUGGACUUAAACUCACUGACUUGGAUGCAAGAACUCUCUUGUUGUCCCCGCUCUUUAGGCGCACUGAUAGGCUCCAGAAGAAGAGAGAGAGAGAGGUUUUGUGCCUGAGAGCCCCAACCAAGGAGCAAGAGGGAGUUUGGGAUUUUGUUU
rnacentral:lncRNA from 1 species